rnacentral:pre_miRNA from 1 species
CCAACAGAGUCCGUUGGCAUUCUGUCCACCUCCGACCGAUCUUCACCUCAGAACCCUCCCCAAAAAGUAGAACAGAAAAAGGGGAAGGAAGAAAGAUUCUUCGUCAAGUCUCUCUCGUGAUCUCUUGGAGGUGGGCAGAUUGCCAACUGAGCUCUGUUAG